GUCAGAGGUUGUCACCCAUACCCAGGGGACAAGUUAAACAGGAACAGGAUGAGUUAACCAGUAACCGUCAGCCACCAGGAGUGCUGGCUAUACACCAGACAGCUUCCUCGCAACUUCGGCCAGUCUCAGAGUACUGUGUGAGCUCCUAGAUAUCACAAGGCUGGAGCAGACUCUGCGUCACACAGCUUGGAAGAGGCAGUCCUAAGGACCACCUUUACUUGUCCUGGAGCCACUGUGGUGACCCAGGGAUACAGCAAACAUGCUCCAAAAAGGAUCUAACCUCAGGAGAUAGCAGUUAGCCUCAUUCCUGGCUGUCCCCUGUAUGGACUGCUGCUGAAUGCAGUUCCAGGGGACCAGCAUCCUCGCACAGACACACAUGCAGGCAAACACCAAUGCACGUGAAAUAAAAAUAAAGAAAUUAAAAAAGCAAGAAGGUGAAAUGCAGCAACACUCAGGAGCACCCGGAUCAGAAGUGAAGAGGUCUGUUUUGCUGCUCAGCGUCCCCGCGGCCUGGGUUUUACUUCUACUCAAUCAACUCUUGACCAGUGCUGCUCCAGGUCCUGGCGCAUGCUGGGUUCCCAGAUAUUUUUUUUUAAAGGAAGGAGUGUGCAUAAAAGGCCUCAAGGAGACCGAUUCCCCAAAUUCAUCUUGCUCCUGCAACUUGCCCUUGGUCUUCUGUGGGUGGCAAAAGACCUGACUCCCCCGGCAACAGGUGCUGCAAGCAGGUCUAUUAGGCACGCAUGCAGAAGACGGGAACGCGCACGGAGAGCGGAAGCGCACCGAAAGCUAAUCUGGACGCGCACCGAGUCGGGAGCUCGCAAAAGGCGGAAGCUUUGCUGGGGUCUCGUGAGCCAGGGGCUCAGUCAGCCCCUCAAUCUGCCCGGGGUGUCCUAGAUUGCUCGGGGUUGAGAUACGCUCGUGGGAGUGAAGAUGGGGUUUUGUGCCCCUGGCCCGCCUCUGCAAGGCUUGCUUGCAUUGAAGUCAAGAGGAAAGCUAUUUGAUCACGUCGGGCAGAGUGAAGAGAGCGAAACCGGGGAAGGGAACUGGGCGCAGCGCUCUCAAGCUUCCGGGCCUGCUGGAGAAACCCGCCUGGUUCAGAGCUACUUCCUGCGGGACCAUGGCCCCGAGGCUCCUCGGAGCAAAGUGCGCCCAGGUCCCCAACCCUAGAACUAGAGCGACUCCAGGAACCACGACCUCU